rnacentral:misc_RNA from 1 species
UGUUCAUCGAGUUGGGCGAGCUGCAAGGGCUGGUCGUAUUGGCACUGCAUAUUCUCUUGUCACAUCCGACGACAUGGCUUAUUUGUUAGAUCUUCAUCUCUUUCUAUCUAAACCAAUCAGGGCUGCACCAACUGAGGAAGAGGUUUUACAAGAUGUGGAUGGAGUCCUGUCCAAAAUAGAUCAAGCAGUUGCCAAUGGAGAAACUGUCUAUGGACGUUUUCCACAAACUGUUCUAGAUCUCCUCUCAGAUAGAGUUCGGGAAAUCAUUGAUCAUUCAACUGAAUUAGAAACUCUGCAAAGGCCAUGUACGAAAGCAUUUGGGUUGUACUCAAAGACAAAAUCAAAGCCUUCUAAAGAGUCCAUUAAAAGAGUAAAAGACCUACCCCGCGAAGGGUUGCAUCCAAUGUUCAAAAAUGACCUCCGUGGUAAUGAAUUAUCAGCAAUGGCCUUUUCUGAACGCUUGAAGGCCUUCAGACCUAAGCAGACAAUCCUGGAAGCUGAAGGUGAAGCCGCUAAGUCAAAAAAACAAAAUCAAUGGGUUGAUGUGAUGAAGAUGAAAAGAGCUAUUCAUGAGGAGGUCAUUAAUAAAGUUCGUCAACAGCGCUCGAGUGUUCCCGCUUCAAAGGAAGAUGAUUUUGAUCCCACUCCUUCAAAAAGGAAGGACAAACAAGUUUCUGGUUCUAAAAGGAAAGCAAAGAUUUUUAAAGACGAAGAGUACUUCAUAAGUGCGGUGCCAACAAAUCAGCAUUUUGAGGCUGGACUCUCCGUGAGGGGAAACCAUGGUUUUGAAUCAAAAAGGUUGGAUGCUGCUGUUCUAGAUUUGGUAGCUGAUGACAAGAAUGGGUUGCAGAAACAAAAAGUUUCAUAUCAUUGGGAUAAGAGGAGCAAGAAAUACAUCAAGCUCAACAAUGGAGAUCGUGUUACAGCUAGUGGGAAGGUACUUUUUUUUUUUUAGCCCUUGCAUGUCAUUUUGUCUGGACCAGCAAGCUUGAUGAAUAGAACAUCUAGUUUCUUUGAAGUGUGGCAGGAGAGUACAAACAA